rnacentral:rRNA from 1 species
CCUUAGAUGUUCUGGGCCGCACGCGCGCUACACUGACAGAGCCAACGAGUAUAAACCUUAACCGAGAGGUUUGGGUAAUCUUGUUAAACUCUGUCGUGCUGGGGAUAGAGCAUUGCAAUUAUUGCUCUUCAACGAGGAAUAUCUAGUAAGCGCGAGUCAUCAGCUCGCGUUGAUUACGUCCCUGCCCUUUGUACACACCGCCCGUCGCUACUACCGAUUGAAUGGCUCAGUGAGACCUUCGGACUGGCUCAGGGAGGUCGGCAACGACCACCCAGAGCCGGAAAGUUGGUCAAACUUGGUCAUUUAGAGGAAGUAAAAGUCGUAACAAGGUUUGGUUAAGAUCCUUCAUGCAGUGACGCUUAUGAGAAGCCUUUGUGACCCAGCAAUGGGUACCUGCCGCGACUAUAAAGAAGGUAUGCCGGUAUUAAAUCGCAAGUCAGCUACGGCUGGCUACACUUUCGAAUUGCGGGAACACCUUAAAGCCCAUCUCUACCAACCGACCGGAGAAAUCCGGUCUGGGGCCUAUGCUAAUAUCAUAGGGUACGGUAAUAACGAGAUUGGGAUACACACUAUAGGUAAUCCGCAGCCAAGUCCCUAAGGCAUCUGCUAUGGGAAAGGUUCACAGACUAAGUGGAAGUGGGCUGUAAAAAGCUUAAGAUAUAGUCGGGCCUGCCAGGAAACUGAUGGGGAGUCACUAGACUUUGCACCACUCUUGUUUUGCUUUGUCUUUGGAAACCGUUCCGUAGGUGAACCUGCGGAAGGAUCAUUAUGAUAACAAACUCUUUGCUCACGCGAAGUUUUAAACCCUCUGUGAACCAAAAAACCUUUAUAGCUUCGGUAGCCUUGCCGUGGUCUCGUUACCAUCGCAUGUCAGCCUGCCGGCAGCGCACAAAUCAAACUCUUGUUUAAAAAAUUUAGUCUGAAUCAAAAUUUUCGAAUGAAAAUUAAAACUUUCAACAACGGAUCUCUUGGUUCUCGCAUCGAUGAAGAACGCAGCGAAACGCGAUAGUUAAUGUGAAUUGCAGAAUUCAGUGAAUCAUCGAGUCUUUGAACGCACAUUGCGCCCUUUGGUAUUCCGAAGGGCAUGUCUGUUUGAGCGUCAUUACAACUCCUCGUUAACAAAUUUUUCUUUUUGUUGUACGGUCUUGGGCAGGGUAAAGCGUCGGUUCCUUGAGAUGCCUGUGAAGCUACCUGCCUUAAAUACAUUAAAGAAUGCUCUGCCAGCCAGACCUUUGAAAACUUUACGUAGUAGUACUUAACAAACCGUUCAGUAGAGAAGGACCGUGCUGGCCUGUAAAACAAAAAUCAACCUCUCUAGGUUUGACCUCAGAUCAGACAAGGAUACCCGCUGAACUUAAGCAUAUCAAUAAGCGGAGGAAAAGAAACCAACAGGGAUUGCCUCAGUAACGGCGAGUGAAGCGGCAACAGCUCAAAUUUGAAAUCUGAUACUUUUAGUGUCCGAGUUGUAAUUUGAAGAGGAUGUUUCGGUUGUGACCGUGGCCUAAGUUCCUUGGAACAGGACGUCGUAGAGGGUGAGAAUCCCGUACACGGCUAACGGUUUACUUCCAUGUGUAACUCCUUCGAAGAGUCGAGUUGUUUGGGAAUGCAGCUCAAAAUGGGUGGUAAAUUUCAUCUAAAGCUAAAUACUGGCGAGAGACCGAUAGCGCACAAGUAGAGUGAUCGAAAGAUGAAAAGCACUUUGAAAAGAGAGUUAAACAGUACGUGAAAUUGUUGAAAGGGAAGCGUUUGCAAUCAGACUUGCUUGCGGUUGAUCAACGUUCCUUCUGGUUCGUGCACUCUGCCGUUCGCAGGCCAGCAUCGGUUAGGGCGGUGGGACAAAGACUCUGAGAAUGUGGCUCUCUUCGGGGAGUGUUAUAGCUCAGUGUGUAAUGCCACCAGUCCUGAUCGAGGUCCGCGCUUCUGCUAGGAUGCUGGCAUAAUGGUUGUAAACGAC